rnacentral:rRNA from 1 species
CCCUUAGAUGUCCUGGGCUGCACGCGCGCUACACUGAUGUGUCCAGUAAGCACCUAACCUCUUCCGAAAGGAACGGGUAACCUUUGCAAAGCACAUCGUGAUGGGGAUAGAUUAUUGCAAUUAUUAGUCUUGAACGAGGAAUUCCUAGUAAGCACAAGGCAUCAGCUUGUGUUGAUUACGUCCCUGCCCUUUGUACACACCGCCCGUCGCUCCUACCGAUUGAAUGUUCCGGUGAGCUCUUCGGACUGCGCGGUCUGCAGUUUCUGCGUUCCGUGCGGAAAGUUGCGCAAACCUUAACAUUUAGAGGAAGGAGAAGUCGUAACA